rnacentral:rRNA from 1 species
AUUCCAGCUCCAAUAGCGUAUAUUAAAGUUGUUGCAGUUAAAAAGCUCGUAGUUGAAUUUUGGACUUGGCUGGUUGGUCUUUGCGAAAGCAAAGUACUAUUCCGGCUGAGUCUUUCCUUCUGGCGAACAAUUGUGCUAUUUAUUUAGUGCGAUUGGGAACCAGGACUUUUACUUUGAAAAAAUUAGAGUGUUUAAAGCAGGCUUACGCUUGAAUACAUUAGCAUGGAAUAAUAAAAUAGGACUUUGGUUUUAUUUUGUUGGUUUUCGAAACCAAAGUAAUGAUUAAUAGGGAUAGUUGGGGGCAUUAGUAUUGAGCCGUCAGAGGUGAAAUUCUUGGAUUGGCUCAAGACUAACUUCUGCGAAAGCAUUUGCCAAGGAUGUUUUCAUCG